AUUGAACGCUGGCGGCAUGCCUUACACAUGCAAGUCGAACGGCAGCAUGAUCUAGCUUGCUAGAUUGAUGGCGAGUGGCGAACGGGUGAGUAAUACAUCGGAACGUGCCCUGUAGUGGGGGAUAACUAGUCGAAAGAUUAGCUAAUACCGCAUACGACCUGAGGGUGAAAGUGGGGGACCGCAAGGCCUCAUGCUAUAGGAGCGGCCGAUGUCUGAUUAGCUAGUUGGUGAGGUAAAGGCUCACCAAGGCGACGAUCAGUAGCUGGUCUGAGAGGACGAUCAGCCACACUGGGAAUGAGACACGGCCCAGACUCCUACGGGAGGCAGCAGUGGGGAAUUUUGGACAAUGGGCGAAAGCCUGAUCCAGCAAUGCCGCGUGUGUGAAGAAGGCCUUCGGGUUGUAAAGCACUUUUGUCCGGAAAGAAAUGGCUCUGGUUAAUACCUGGAGUCGAUGACGGUACCGGAAGAAUAAGGACCGGCUAACUACGUG
rnacentral:rRNA from 1 species